AGAAAUUGAAUAAGUAUUAAUUUAGAUGGAAGUUUGGUUAGAUUCCAAUACGGUCCCGCCACUGUAAUGAGCAGCUAUGCUAUGAGUCAGGUCUUUCUAUUUUGAUGCUCCCGUACUAUUGUUUCGAGGCAAAACAAUAGGGCACAU
rnacentral:sRNA from 1 species